GGGUUGUGAGGUUAAGCGACUAAGCGUACACGGUGGAUGCCCUGGCAGUCAGAGGCGAUGAAGGACGUGCUAAUCUGCGAUAAGCGUCGGUAAGGUGAUAUGAACCGUUAUAACCGGCGAUUUCCGAAUGGGGAAACCCAGUGUGAUUCGUCACACUAUCAUUAACUGAAUCCAUAGGUUAAUGAGGCGAACCGGGGGAACUGAAACAUCUAAGUACCCCGAGGAAAAGAAAUCAACCGAGAUUCCCCCAGUAGCGGCGAGCGAACGGGGAGCAGCCCAGAGCCUGAAUCAGUGUGUGUGUUAGUGGAAGCGUCUGGAAAGGCGUGCGAUACAGGGUGACAGCCCCGUACACAAAAAUGCACAUACUGUGAGCUCGAUGAGUAGGGCGGGACACGUGGUAUCCUGUCUGAAUAUGGGGGGACCAUCCUCCAAGGCUAAAUACUCCUGACUGACCGAUAGUGAACCAGUACCGUGAGGGAAAGGCGAAAAGAACCCCGGCGAGGGGAGUGAAAAAGAACCUGAAACCGUGUACGUACAAGCAGUGGGAGCACAGAGCAAUCUGUGUGACUGCGUACCUUUUGUAUAAUGGGUCAGCGACUUAUAUUCUGUAGCAAGGUUAACCGAAUAGGGGAGCCGAAGGGAAACCGAGUCUUAACUGGGCGUUAAGUUGCAGGGUAUAGACCCGAAACCCGGUGAUCUAGCCAUGGGCAGGUUGAAGGUUGGGUAACACUAACUGGAGGACCGAACCGACUAAUGUUGAAAAAUUAGCGGAUGACUUGUGGCUGGGGGUGAAAGGCCAAUCAAACCGGGAGAUAGCUGGUUCUCCCCGAAAGCUAUUUAGGUAGCGCCUCGUGAAUUCAUCUCCGGGGGUAGAGCACUGUUUCGGCAAGGGGGUCAUCCCGACUUACCAACCCGAUGCAAACUGCGAAUACCGGAGAAUGUUAUCACGGGAGACACACGGCGGGUGCUAACGUCCGUCGUGAAGAGGGAAACAACCCAGACCGCCAGCUAAGGUCCCAAAGUCAUGGUUAAGUGGGAAACGAUGUGGGAAGGCCCAGACAGCCAGGAUGUUGGCUUAGAAGCAGCCAUCAUUUAAAGAAAGCGUAAUAGCUCACUGGUCGAGUCGGCCUGCGCGGAAGAUGUAACGGGGCUAAACCAUGCACCGAAGCUGCGGCAGCGACGCUUAUGCGUUGUUGGGUAGGGGAGCGUUCUGUAAGCCUGCGAAGGUGUGCUGUGAGGCAUGCUGGAGGUAUCAGAAGUGCGAAUGCUGACAUAAGUAACGAUAAAGCGGGUGAAAAGCCCGCUCGCCGGAAGACCAAGGGUUCCUGUCCAACGUUAAUCGGGGCAGGGUGAGUCGACCCCUAAGGCGAGGCCGAAAGGCGUAGUCGAUGGGAAACAGGUUAAUAUUCCUGUACUUGGUGUUACUGCGAAGGGGGGACGGAGAAGGCUAUGUUGGCCGGGCGACGGUUGUCCCGGUUUAAGCGUGUAGGCUGGUUUUCCAGGCAAAUCCGGAAAACUAAGGCUGAGGCGUGAUGACGAGGCACUACGGUGCUGAAGCAACAAAUGCCCUGCUUCCAGGAAAAGCCUCUAAGCAUCAGGUAACAUCAAAUCGUACCCCAAACCGACACAGGUGGUCAGGUAGAGAAUACCAAGGCGCUUGAGAGAACUCGGGUGAAGGAACUAGGCAAAAUGGUGCCGUAACUUCGGGAGAAGGCACGCUGAUAUGUAGGUGAAGCGACUUGCUCGUGGAGCUGAAAUCAGUCGAAGAUACCAGCUGGCUGCAACUGUUUAUUAAAAACACAGCACUGUGCAAACACGAAAGUGGACGUAUACGGUGUGACGCCUGCCCGGUGCCGGAAGGUUAAUUGAUGGGGUCAGCGCAAGCGAAGCUCUUGAUCGAAGCCCCGGUAAACGGCGGCCGUAACUAUAACGGUCCUAAGGUAGCGAAAUUCCUUGUCGGGUAAGUUCCGACCUGCACGAAUGGCGUAAUGAUGGCCAGGCUGUCUCCACCCGAGACUCAGUGAAAUUGAACUCGCUGUGAAGAUGCAGUGUACCCGCGGCAAGACGGAAAGACCCCGUGAACCUUUACUAUAGCUUGACACUGAACAUUGAGCCUUGAUGUGUAGGAUAGGUGGGAGGCUUUGAAGUGUGGACGCCAGUCUGCAUGGAGCCGACCUUGAAAUACCACCCUUUAAUGUUUGAUGUUCUAACGUUGACCCGUAAUCCGGGUUGCGGACAGUGUCUGGUGGGUAGUUUGACUGGGGCGGUCUCCUCCUAAAGAGUAACGGAGGAGCACGAAGGUUGGCUAAUCCUGGUCGGACAUCAGGAGGUUAGUGCAAUGGCAUAAGCCAGCUUGACUGCGAGCGUGACGGCGCGAGCAGGUGCGAAAGCAGGUCAUAGUGAUCCGGUGGUUCUGAAUGGAAGGGCCAUCGCUCAACGGAUAAAAGGUACUCCGGGGAUAACAGGCUGAUACCGCCCAAGAGUUCAUAUCGACGGCGGUGUUUGGCACCUCGAUGUCGGCUCAUCACAUCCUGGGGCUGAAGUAGGUCCCAAGGGUAUGGCUGUUCGCCAUUUAAAGUGGUACGCGAGCUGGGUUUAGAACGUCGUGAGACAGUUCGGUCCCUAUCUGCCGUGGGCGCUGGAGAACUGAGGGGGGCUGCUCCUAGUACGAGAGGACCGGAGUGGACGCAUCACUGGUGUUCGGGUUGUCAUGCCAAUGGCACUGCCCGGUAGCUAAAUGCGGAAGAGAUAAGUGCUGAAAGCAUCUAAGCACGAAACUUGCCCCGAGAUGAGUUCUCCCUGACUCCUUGAGAGUCCUGAAGGAACGUUGAAGACGACGACGUUGAUAGGCCGGGUGUGUAAGCGCAGCGAUGCGUUGAGCUAACCGGUACUAAUGAACCGUGAGGCUUAACCUUACAACGCCGAAG
rnacentral:rRNA from 1 species